GAUAUGUGAAUACAUAGCAUAUCAGAAGGCACACCCGGAGAACUGAAACAUCUUAGUACCCGGAGGAAGAGAAAGAAAAUUCGAUUCCCUUAGUAGCGGCGAGCGAAACGGGAAGAGCCCAAACCAACAAGCUUGCUUGUUGGGGUUGUAGGACACUCUAUACGGAGUUACAAAGGACGACAUUAGACGAAUCAUCUGGAAAGAUGAAUCAAAGAAGGUAAUAAUCCUGUAGUCGAAAAUGUUGUCUCUCUUGAGUGGAUCCUGAGUACGACGGAGCACGUGAAAUUCCGUCGGAAUCUGGGAGGACCAUCUCCUAAGGCUAAAUACUCUCUAGUGACCGAUAGUGAACCAGUACCGUGAGGGAAAGGUGAAAAGCACCCCGGAAGGGGAGUGAAAUAGAACCUGAAACCGUGUGCUUACAAGUAGUCAGAGCCCGUUAAUGGGUGAUGGCGUGCCUUU
rnacentral:rRNA from 1 species